rnacentral:tRNA from 1 species
GGUCCAGUGGUCAAAAGGCCUGGACUCCCUAGUGGAAACGCAGGUUCGAUUCCUGUUUGGGUCA